AAACACGUUCAAGUAUGGCAUUGCUCUUUUGCGAUAUCCCGAACAGAAACGGAAAACACAAACGGGAUUUUACUUUUUGAACAUCAUCGGUUUCGUGGAAUAAGUGGUUUUAAGCGCUUAUAUCGACCUGACUACGCAUUGGUUUCCUUGUGAUGUUUCUGGCUGUAAGGAUGGCUUACAUUCAGGAUAUUCUCGCUGCUCAAGAGCAGUCAUCUACUUUAUGUAGCAUAGGACCGUAAAUUAAAAGCUCAGUGUGCUAAAUGUAUAGACCAUAUGUGUAAAAGCAAACCAAAAAGUGAUAAGGUAAACCAAAAGCCAAGUCCAAAGUUUAACGAACAGAGAGAAUCAUGACAUUGUGAAUCCAGGCUAUAACACUUUUCUGGAAGCUGGACGAAAGCCAUGGGCAAGGAGCAGGACCUUCUUCUGGCUGUGAAGAAUGGAGACCUUCCUUUAGCUCAUAAACUUCUGGCCAAGAUCAAGACCAACCGAAACAAGUUGCUGGGCUCCACAAAGAGGCUAAAUGUGAACUACCAAGACCAAGAAGGGU